CUACGGGUCGCUGCAGUGAGGAAUAUUGCACAAUGGGGGGAACCCUGAUGCAGCAACGCCGCGUGGAGGAUGACGCAUUUCGGUGUGUAAACUCCUUUUAUAUGUCGAGAAAAUGACGGUAGCAUAUGAAUAAGCACCGGCUAACUCCGUGCCAGCAGCCGCGGUAAUACGGAGGGUGCAAGCGUUACUCGGAAUCACUGGGCGUAAAGGACGCGUAGGCGGGUUGGAAAGUCAGGUGUGAAAUCCUACAGCUUAACUGUAGAACUGCACUUGAAACUUCUAAUCUAGAGUAUGGGAGGGGGAGAUGGAAUUAGUGGUGUAGGGGUAAAAUCCGUAGAUAUCACUAGGAAUACCUAAAGCGAAGGCGAUCUCCUGGAACAUUACUGACGCUAAGGCGUGAAAGUGUGGGGAGCAAACAGGAUUAGAUACCCGCGUAGUC
rnacentral:rRNA from 1 species